GCCUUCUUAGUGUAGUGGUCAGCACGCUCGGCUUGCAUUCGAGAGGUCCGUGGUUCGAUUCCCGGUGAGGGCA
rfam:Stegodyphus mimosarum contig59941, whole genome shotgun sequence.